CUUGUUCACCAGCGCCUCCCCUGGAAGAGCCGCCGCCUGCGGACAUCUUCGCUUUCGCCAAGGUACCGGGGAGUCUCCUCUCCCGGGUUAACCAUCUCGGCCUCGGCUCCCCAGAGGAAGCGGGCCGACUCCCUUUGGGGUUGGGGCUGGGGGGCUGGGAAGGAAUUUGCCACCGUCUUCCCCAAAGGGGGGCCUCCCAUCCUUGCAGUUGCGAACCGCUAAGGGUUGGUUUGCAGGGGAGCGCCACCCGGAGGUGAACCGAAGCCCCCUUUCCAUCACCGAGAUAGGCUGCCUUCUCUCUCCCGCCCCCAGCCCGGGAAACCGCGGGCAGCAACGCCUAUAGAGAUCUCUGGGAGAGUGCGGCGGAGAUCACAGGGCCAGGGGGCUUUCUUUCCUUCGCGCGAUCCUUGAUGUCCCUUUUCACGCUCAUAAACCGAGCAGUCGAAGCAAAGCGAAGCAGGACCUGGCUCAGGAGAGGACGGAAGGAGGGGGGGAGGGAGGAAGCCACACGCCAAGGGCAGCGUCCCAUCCACAGCGAGGGUUGCCAACAGGACCCGGGACGAAUAGCGAUGCCGCCGCGAGGACGUCUGCUCGGGAUGCCGGGGCGGAAGCUCUUGGCUCUGAAGAGAAGCGCUCUCUCGCCCGGGGUUGUGGAAAAGCGACUGGAUGGUCUUCGGUGGCCGCAGUCCAGGAGGAGAGAGGACCCAAGGGAGCGGAGGGAGGCUGGUCUUCGGGAUACGGGGACUGGCCUGGCUCAUGCAUAGGUCUGGAAGAAAAUAAAGGAAGACAAGGAGACUUUCCCCUCCCUUCUCCUUCAGUCAUUGAUGAACAAGCCUAAAAAUUCGGGUCAAUUGACCCCUCGAGAUACGACUUGGAGGAUCUUCCCAAGAACUUUGUACAUAGCUGGCUUUAUUGCUCUUCUGACAUGAGAACCACAGGUAUAAGGAGUUAUACUUUGCCACCAAAGCAAAGAAACAUUGCUGAAAACCCUGACUUAGGCUAGAAAUUCUUCAUUCUGUCUGUCUUUUGAGAUAUCAUCAGGCUUUGCUCAUGUAACUACAAGCCUAUGGACUAGAAACUUACUGACAGAAGAAUUGUUGCCUGUUAUCACAUUUUGUGCCUGUGUAGCAUAGCAGCAUAUUCAAAGGCUUGUUUUUUGGCUAAAACCCUUCACUCUUGUUGACAAUACCAUUCACGGUUGUUGGAAAAACAACCCUGUAUGUUGCUUUGUGUGAGUGGACAGUAGCUAAUUGAUGAAAAAAAGGAGUCAGCUUUUGGGUUUUUCUCUUGCUUGUUAUCUUUCUGUAAAUGGUGGUAAAAGCAAGAGGGUACUGUAUACUAUCUUGACUGCUGCCAUUGGUGUUGUCACAAGUCAGGCUGUUCUUUACUAUGUAAAGCUUGGUAUCCUUUUUCCUGCUGGCAUCACAGUCACAUAUUACACAGCAAUAUUGGACCAUUUCCUAGUGCUUUGAAUAAUGGAUUCAGAAGUACUGUACAAUAUCCCAUAUUCAUCAACUGAAGGGUAGUUAGUUAGUUACUUACUUAGUUAGUU